UCGAGAAUCUUCGGCAAUGGGGGAAACCCUGACCGAGCGACGCCGCGUGUGAGAUGAAGGCCUUCGGGUUGUAAAUCACUGUCAGAGGGGAGGAAAUGUCGGUGGGUUCUCCCACCGAUUUGACCUAUCCUCAGAGGAAGGACGGGCUAAGUUCGUGCCAGCAGCCGCGGUAAUACGGACCGUCCAAACGUUGUUCGGAAUCACUGGGCUUAAAGGGUGCGUAGGCGGUCCGGGAAGUUGGGUGUGAAAGCCCUCGGCUCAACCGAGGAACUGCGCCCAAAACUGCCGGGCUAGAGGGAGACAUAGGUGAGCGGAACUUAGGGUGGAGCGGUGAAAUGCGUUGAGAUCGGGAGGAAUAUCAGUGGCGAAGGCGCCCAUCUGGACGGUAACUGACGCUGAGACGCGAAAGCGUGGGGAGCAAACA
rnacentral:rRNA from 1 species